rnacentral:lncRNA from 1 species
AACACAUAAAAGUUCAGUAAAAUAGUUUUAAAGCAAUCUAAGCUUUCUGAACUUUUUACAACUAAACAUCUUCACCAUAAAUCAUCUAUUCUUCAUACCUGAAGUGCCGAGCUUUCCGAAUGAGUCUUUGUUCUCCAAUUUGAAUCUUUUCUUCAAACAUCCGUGAUCAAUUCUUCAAGACUCCAUUCAACUUUACGAAAUCCGCCAACCUAUAAAAUCCUUAACAUAAUGAAGGUAAAAUAUUAUAAGAUCCCAAAAUACAUCGAAAUACCAAAAUUUUGUUAUCAAAAAUAAUCUCAAGUUUCAAAAUCAUCAAGAUGUAACGGCUCACGAAAAAAUGAUUUUUAGAAAUUCGGCAAAAUUGACACCAAUUUGUCGCAAUCCGUUCAAAAUAGAGAUUUAACUAAUAUAGCUCCGAGGGUGGCUCUUUGAGCAUCUUUUCAACUUACCACCUUAUAACACCGAAGAUUCUAAAAUAUUCAAUUUUUUUCAACCUUUUUCGGUUAAUCAAUUCAAUCUCAUGUGAUAGCUUCACACACUUGCCGGACGACCGGGGUGGUAGCUCUUUCCUACAUGUGGUCGCAGUUUUCACACUCCUUUUGGAUGUAACUCUUUCCACAUCUUUUUAAACAUAGGAGUUUUUUCCUUUUUUUUUUAACAAUUUCAAACUCCCCCUAAAUUAGACAAUCUCACAAUUAAAAAUAUUUUGACAAAUUUUAGUCUAUUAGCGAAUAUCCAUCUAUCAUAUUCAACACACACAACCGAGAUAGAUUAAUCACCAAGAGAUCAAAUUUGAUUUCAAUAUUUUGAUAAAUAUAUGUAUUAAGAAAUCAUAUAUUAAAUUAUCGUCAAAAUAAUAAAAAGUGGAGUAAAAACGAUAAUUAAUAUGAAUUUAACUUAACAUGAUUGUGAAGUUAAACACCGUUUAAACAACUUUGAAAAAUUUCUCUCCUAAAAAAAAAAUGAUUCUCAAUCAUCUCCUCUCUCAAAGAAAAAAUUUUUAAAAUUCCCAAACACCUUUCCUCAAAUCAAUUUUAAAAACAACUUUCACACACGAAAAUCAUCAUGUAAUGCAAUGAACAAAAAUAUGCAACAAGCACCAAACAAAGCAUUACAUAAACAAUCAAAACAAACUAAGAUGAAGAACAAGGAAAUAUAUCACCUUUCCAAAUCCAAACUUGUCGGAUUUUGUGUUCUCUCGGCUUGUUGACAUUCGGCAUGGCUUGUUUUGACUUUAGAUCAACCGUUGAUCGCUUCGUUGAUGGUGGCUUUGGUCGGGCUUAACGUUGUGCAUUUAAGCUCCGAUUCCCUCGAGGUACUCGACGUAAUUGUUUUUCCUUUGAAAUCGGUGGGGGAAGUCGAGUAGUAGAGGGUGCCACUUGACGAUUAGAAGUUGCCGAUUGAUUCUUCUUUUCUUUGUUUGGGCAAUUUCUUUUGAUGUGUCCUUUGAUGCCACAUCGAUGACACACUUUGNACAGACAAACUGAAAGAACCAUUCAGACUCUGGAGGAUAUGUUGCGAGCGUGUGUCAUCGAUUACAAAGGAGGUUGGUGUAAGUAUUUGCCAAUGGCUGAGUUCGCCUACAACAACAGUUAUCACGCUAGCGUGGAGAUGGCACCGUUCGAAGCUCUUUAUGGGCGGAAGUGCCGCUCCCCCAUUUAUUGGAGUGACGUGGGCGAACGCACGGAAUUUGGCCCCGAGGUACUGCGGGAGGCGGAAGAAAUGGUCCGCCUUGCUCGCAAACGAUUACUCACGGCGCAGUCUCGGCAAUAGAGCUAUGCGGAUAAGCGCCGACGAGAUUUGGAGUUCGCCGCGGGAGACCGCGUCUUCUUGAAGGUUUCGCCUAUAAGGGGUGUAAGGCGAUUUGGAGUUCAGGGAAAAUUGAGCCCCCGAUAUAUUGGCCCCUAUGAGAUCUUGGAGCGAAUUGGGACGGUGGCUUAUCGGCUCGCGUUGCCGCCAAAACUUGCAGACGUAUUCCACGUCUCCAAUCUACGCAAAUACAUUCCUGACCCCGAACACGCAAUGUUAUACGAGCCGCCGGAGCUUCAGGAGGACCUGAGCUAUGAGGAAUUUCCGGUGGCAAUUACUGCUCGUGAAGUGCGCAAGUUAAGGAAUCGAGAAAUUCCUUAUGUCCGAGUCCAGUAGAGCAAUCAUGAUGAUCGCGAAGCCACCUGGGAGCUCGAGGAGGAGAUGAAGGCGAAUCAUCUUCGCCUGUUCGAUAGUUAAAUCGAGGUAUGAGUUUAGAAUUUGGAAAUUUCAAAUAAGUCUUGUAGUAUCGAGUUCAUUUCAAGGACGAAACUCUUUUAAGGUGGGAAGGAUGUAAGGAAGUGAAUUCUCGAAUCUCGAGAAUUAGACUUUGACUAGAAUCGACUAGUUGUCGAGUGCGUAGGCUUCGGAGAGUCCGAAGGUGAUUAUAAUGCAUAAAGCGCAUUAAAGGAGGGUCCGCGGGAGCAGCAGUGCAAAAUCUGCACUGAAGCAGAAUUGCUCUCGGGGACCGGUCCCUGGCAGGGAGGGACCGGUUCCAUCAGGCUGGGCUGCGGGGGUCUCUGAUGAGACCGGUCCCUGGUGGUGAGGGACCGGUUCCCGAACGUUUGCCCAGCGAAAAUAGCCGAAAUUUGGCUAAGUCCCGAAAACUCAGCUUUCGGAAACCGGUCUCUCGGAUAAGAACCGGUCUCCCGGGGACCGGUCUCUCAGGCAAGGAUUGGUUCCCGAACGCGAAAACCCCUCUGCUCGACGUGGCAGCCUUCGGGGACCGGUCUCCCCGAGCUGGGACCGGUCCCUCGCUGCGAAAAUGGCCCAGGGAAGGCUAUUUCAGGAAAUAAAAAGUUGAGGGGGCUAUCUGCAAAAUGGCCUAUAUGAGGGCUUGGGGACCCCUCUCUCUCCCUCAGUUGCUCUUCCCCUCUCUCUUUCACACUCUUUCCCUCUCUCUCUAGAAAAGAAAGAAAAGAAGGAGAAGAAGAAGGAGAAGAAAGAAAAGAAGAAAAAGAGGAAGAAGUAGAAGGAGAAGAAGAAGAAGAAGAAGAAGAUCAUCUUCUUCCCUCUCUCCUCCAACCUAGGGCAAGCUUGGAGCUUGGCUUAGAGGUAAGCUCCAAACCCACUCAUGGUAGAUUUCUUAGGGCUGGGUUUUGUUGCUUAGAAUUGGUUCAAAUGGAACCUAUUGGGGAUAAAUAGAUGGUUCGAGCUCGAAAUCGAAGCUCGCACCAUGGAUUUCCCCCNGUGCCACUUGACGAUUAGAAGUUGCCGAUUGAUUCUUCUUUUCUUUGUUUGGGCAAUUUCUUUUGAUGUGUCCUUUGAUGCCACAUCGAUGACACACUUUGCCUUUUAAAGUUGUUGAGACUUUAGAUGUCGCCGUUUGAUCCUUCUCAACAUAUGUCCGUUCAUAUCCAAGGCCCAAUUUGCUCGUUUGACCCAAUUCAAGCAUUUUGUCCAAUUUCUUUUCUUAGAUCCCGAUGAAAACUUUUGAAUGUCGGUUUGGAGUUGUCGAACUUGGUUGGUCAAUGAUUUGUUGGAUGUGUGCGAUUCCUUGAAUUGUUGCUCCAAAAAUUCAACCUUGUCUUUAUAUGAUUUGAUCGUUGAUUCCGCUUCAUUAAGCUUCUCUAGAAGGUCCGAAUUAUUUUUCAAAAUUGAUUCCCUUUCCUCCUCGAGACUUUUGUUCGUGAUCUUCAAGUUGUUGUUUUCCUCUUCGAGAUUCAACAAACGACGCCUCAACUUCUUAUUAAGUUUAGCCAUCUUUUUUUAUUCAAUAAGAAGUUGAUUGUAUGCUUCCGCUAUAUCGUCAUCGUUUGACUCCUCGCUUUCGCCAUUGUCGCUCGAAGAAUCAUGCGUAGAAAGAGAAAUAUUGGAAUUAGUAACAACAGAGGAUAAACAAACAACGUUAGACGAAGGCAAGGUAGAUUUAGCAAAUAAAGCAAGAUUUCCAUUCUUUUCUUCGUCACUUGAGCUUGAUUCACUUGAAGUUGUAUCAUCCCACGUCUUUGCUUGCAAUGCCUUCUUAGUAUACUAUUUCUUUGAAGGACAAUCCGUUGCGAUGUGACCGUAUCCUUUGCACUUGUAGCAUCGGAUCUCGCCUUCAAAUACUUCCUUUUCUUUUGAAGCCUUUGCACGCUUCUUCUCGUUAGAAGAUGAAGACUUAGAAAACGUUUGUUGCUUCGAAGAUGAAGGUUUAUUCGAUUUGCUCUUUCGAAAAUUUCGGCAAAACUUUUUUGUGAGAAGCGCAAGUUGAUGUUCAAAGUCGGCAAGAGAAACAUCUCCGUCGGAAUUCGAGUCGUUUUCUUCUUUCUUUGUUGAUUUGAGAGCAACCCUUGUGCUUUUAGAAAAAGACUUGGAAGAAGAUUGGUUAGUAGGAAAAGUCAUCUCAUAAGUUUGCAAAGCACCUACUAACUCUUCGACUUUCAUCUCGUCCGGAUGCUUAACGGUUUCGAUCGCGGCAACCUUUGCCCGAAAGCGUUCCGGAAGAGUUCGAAGAAUCUUUCUAACAACUUUAGCAUCCGGGAUUUUCUCUCCCAAGUUAGCGCAUGUAUUGACUACGUCUUGUAGACGCGUGUAGUACUCCGUAAAGGUCUCGUUUUCGUCCAUAAAAAUAGAAUCAAAUUUGCUAGUUAGCAUUUGCAACUUUUGAACCUUUACUAAGCUUGUCCCUUCAUGCGUAACUUGUAGAGUAUCCCAUAUCUCCUUGGCGGUUUCACACGCCGAAACGCGAGUAAACUCCGUUUGUGACAAUGCAUUAAAUAAAGCGUUUAUGCCCUUGCCAUUAAACGAAGAUGACUCGUUUUCAUCUUUGGUCCACUUGUUUCGUGGUUUAGGCGUUUCAACAUUAUCGACUUUUUCAAUGGAAUGUUUCCAUCCAAAUUCUAUGGAUUGCCAUACCCGCUCAUCGAUUGCAAUUAGAAAAGCUCUCAUGCGAACUUUCCAAUAGGCAUAAUUAGUGCCGUUGAAGAGCGGAGGUCGAUUAAUGUUACCGCCUUCGGCCAUUAGAUAGCAAUAUAUCUAGAUCCCGCUCUGAUACCAAAUGAAAGUUUUUAGGAGCCUAAGGAUCUAUCUAGAUUGUAUCUAUCACCUAGAGGGGGGUGAAUAGGUGAAAUAGCCAAAAACCACAAAUCUCAAUGCGAUAAAAAUAAAUGCGGAAAAUAAAAAUCACACCGAGAUUUAAGUGGGAAAACUCCAAUUUGGAGAAAAACCCACGGGACCAACACGCGAAAAAAUAAUUUGUGAGAUAUGAAUCCCGAGGAUCUAAAAGGUAAAUAACACCUAGAGGGGGGUGAAUAGGUGUAAAAACGGCAAACUCGAAAAUCUCGAUGCAAAUAAAACAAAAUAGCGGAAAAUAAAACAGCACACCGAGAAUUUAACGUGGGAAAACUCCAAUUCGGAGUGAAAAACCCACGGGACCGAUCACGCGAAGAAAAUCCACUAAGAAAACUUGAGUACAAGUGAUUUUGACAAAAAUACACGACUCAAUUUACCGAUUUCUUGUUGAUGGUAAUCUUCGCCGGCCCUCGAUCGAUGGGAAUCCACCAAUCGAUCUUGCUGCAACUCCUCACAGCAUCAACGCCUCAACUCCUUGAAGCGUCCACCGAAUCCUCGGCUCACGCAAGAUCCACGCGCCGAACCUCCUUCCGGAGCUCGUAGAAUCGAAGAUUUGUGAUGAUUUAACCUUUGAAUACCAUAAGCUAUGAGGGUUCACCGUUAAUCAAAAAUCUACUUGAUUCUCGUAUGAGUUCUCGAGUAAAAACGAAGAAUCAAGCCGAUUGUUGAUUGUUAGAAACUCGUUAUGUGAAUCGAAGCAUUGAAACGGAAAAAACAAGUUUCUAGGGUUUAGAAUCUGUAAAUAUUCAAAGCCUUAAACUUUUAGAUGACCCACAUAGCUUAUUUAUAUGUUUAGAAGACUUAGAAGUAGACUAGGAUUGCAAAAAGUCCUUUUUAAAAACCUGUGUCGUCCUCAGAGACCGGUCUUCUCGAGGAGACCGGUCUGUGAGAGACCGGUCUCUCAAGUGAGGAACCGGUCCCUCGCUGCGUGACCAAAAUCACAACGUUCGGGAACCGGUCUCUCAAGCUUGAGACCGGUCCCUCGUUGCGCGACAGAACUACCAAGGUUCGGGAACCGGUCUCUCAUCUCAGGGGACCGGUUGCAUCAGAACUCACGCAGUGAGGACCUUAAGGGAACCGGUCUCUCCAUUUUAGGGACCGGUUCCAGAACACAUGAAAGUUCAGAAAAAUUAUUUUAAAGCAAUUUAAGCCUUCUGAACUUAUUCUAAUUAGGUAUCUUCACCACAAAUGAUCUUUUCUUCAUACCUUAGGUGUUGAGCUUUCCGAAAGAGUCUUUGUUCUUCAAUUUGAAUCUUUUCUUCAAAACUUCUGCGAUCAACUCUUCAAGACUCCAUUCAACAUUACGAAAUUCGCCAACCUAUAAAAUCCUUAACAUAAUUCACUAAGAGAAAAGAUUACAAGGUGAUUACCGACUCCACGGACUCAACCUCUCUUAACCUCCUAUGAAUCUCGCGCAAUCCUCCGCGUUGUCCACGCCCUCACGUUCGAAUCCACGAACGCCACGUCUCGAAUCCACGAAACGCCUCGCACACGUUCGAAUCCACGAACGCCACUCGAAUCCACGAGCCUUUGAUCCGAAUCCUCGAACCGUCGUUAAUCACGCCGAAUCCACGACGCCGUUUAUGAAGAGCAUCAUGAUUAUGGUGAUCCUUCGCUUAGAGUAUCGUAGAAAACCAAGGAAGAAGACUCCAAGCGAAGACUAGAUCAAAUCAACAUAUAGCGAAUGCGAAACGAUACCUCGAUUUGAUCUAAAGAGGCUAAUUUGUAGAAAAUAGAUUUAGAAUGAAAUACUAGCCUCUAGGGUUCUUUAAUUGUGUAUUCUUAUGA